GAUGAACGCUGGCGGCGUGCCUAAUACAUGCAAGUCGAGCGAACGGACGAGAAGCUUGCUUUUCUGAUGUUAGCGGCGGACGGGUGAGUAACACGUGGAUAACCUACCUAUAAGACUGGGAUAACUUCGGGAAACCGGAGCUAAUACCGGAUAAUAUUUUGAACCGCAUGGUUCAAAAGUGAAAGACGGUCUUGCUGUCACUUAUAGAUGGAUCCGCGCUGCAUUAGCUAGUUGGUAAGGUAACGGCUUACCAAGGCAACGAUGCAUAGCCGACCUGAGAGGGUGGUCGGCCCCCCUGGAACUGAGACACGGUCCAGACUCCUACGGGAGGCAGCAGUAGGGAAUCUUCCGCAAUGGGCGAAAGCCUGACGGAGCAACGCCGCGGGAGUGAUGAAGGUCUUCGGAUCGUAAAACUCUGUUAUUAGGGAAGAACAUAUGUGUAAGUAACUGUGCACAUCUUGACGGUACCUAAUCAGAAAGCCACGGCUAACUACGUG
rnacentral:rRNA from 1 species